ensembl:lncRNA
CCACGCAUCUCAAUAAAAUAUUGCAAGUACAUUGAAGCUGCUUAAAAACCUACAUGCCAAACAACAGUUUCGGUUGACAUAUUUGUUGUUAUUUGUUAAAUAUGCCUAUUGACAUAUUUGUUUCUGUGCUUGGAGAAACCCCAUUUGGCUGAGCAGCAGUAAGUCACUGUCACACCUGUAACAUAGUAUAACUAUCAAUUGGGAAUACAGUGAAGCAAAACACAUGGGUAAAAAUAAGCAGAUCUAUGCACGUAUGCGCUUCAGAGCUGUUCUCUCCUAUCCCUGUAUUCUCAUGUUUGCUCUUUCUGAUAUGCAGUGAGCAAACAGCAGGUCCUGACAGAUACUUCCCCUUCCCCUGCCAUGAGGAUUCGGCCAAGAAGCAGAGGUGAAAUCUUACCAUAAAAACAGGACAACAUUCCUACAUAAAUGACUAGAAAUAUUCCAGCAGCUUUACUAUAUGGAACUAUUUGUCAUUUGGUCAGUUCCAAGCAGUAGUUUGGCUUGAUCACGUCACUUUAUUACUUUUAUUAAUACAGUACCCAGUGAUGAAAACAUCUGUGCAAUGGAAAGCAAAGCAAGGGAGAAAAGGCAGGAAUAGAAGAAAAAGGUGUGAAAAUCAUCAGGAAAAGGGGAGAAGAGAUUCAAGCAGCUUUGAAAACUGCAAAACACCGAGCCUGGUGGUGUUCAAAGAGCGUUUGGAUGUUGUGUUGAGGGACAUGGUUUAGCGGAAACCAUUGGUGAAGGGCGAAUGGUUGGACUGGAUGAUCCUGUGGGUCUUUUCCAACCUUAGCAAUUCUAUGAUUCUAUGAUUCUAUGAAAAGUAGGCAGUUAACAAAAAACGGAUUUCACAAAAACAGAGGCCAUUUCCAUAGGCAGUUAAGUAUUUUAGUCCACAGGUAGCACUUCCUUAGUACUUAUUUCUGUAAGAGAACAUUAAAAGAAUCAGACUCAAACAAAUUAAAAAACCCUCACAUUAAGUACACAGAAACCACCCACUCUUUCUGCCCAUCUUUUUCGUCGCUAGUAGGUGUGGAACAUCUACAGAAUUAACUCAGAAAGAAGACCACAAGAAGCUUAAAUGACAGAACGCAGACACUCGCCUUGCGUGCACACUGUCACUGUGAAUUAGGCAUGAGUUGACAAGCUAAAGACCUGGCUUGCAGUCUCAUCAUUCAAUCAUCCAUCCAAUCUCAUCAAUUGAGCAAGACAGUAAUACAUGUCCCCUGCAGCUUAAAUGACAGCAAAACUGUGGGUUGUAAUCACAGGUCAUCUUCAAAGGACACAUCAUUAAGGACAGUUUUGCUCCGAAUCGGUUUGUUGAGAAUAAUAUAAUACUUUUCUCUUUGCUCUUUUUGACUCUUGCAUUUAACACUGUUUAGAAGAAUAUACCAAAAUGAAUAUUUCAUCACUUAUUAGGAAUAAGCUAACAACAAAUGACAUGGGGUCGAAUUCAGAGUUAGCCAUUUACAGACCAAAAACAAUGACAAAAAUGAGGUCAUCCAGACAAACUUCCAACUGCAUCUUCAGCUAGUGUUAAUCCACAGUGUCUCUGUUGCAGUCUUAACAGUUUUAUUAGAACCUCAGAAUGGCCUGGACCUUUUCCCACCCUAUCAUUGCCCGUGUAAAAAGUUGACUUCCCACCUCUUUAUAAGCUCCCUUCAAGCACUGGAAGGCUGCAGUGAGGUCUCCCCAGAGCCUUCUCUUCUCCAUGCUGAACAAGCCCAGCUCCCUAAGCCUUUCUUCCUAAGAGAGGUGCUCCAGCCCUCUGAGCAUCUUUAUGGCCCCUUUUCUUCCUGUUCUUUUCCCACUUGCUCCAUCAGCAUCCUUUGAGACCACAUUUUAGAGGACCUAGUCCUCAAAUUGUAUAAAAGGUUUUUUUUUUUUUGGAAAAGAGCAGUUAGAAACAAAAUUCUGAUUCGGCAAGGUUAGGAAAAAGGGUGCAUUUUAAACAUGACAAAAACAUUAGAUGCUACUGAUAGCUGAGGCAGUGUUUUUUUAGGGUGCGUGUACUGUUAUUUAUAUUUUGGCUUAUUUUUCAAGUUUUUAUGCCCCAGGUAAUUUAAGACAACUUCUUCACUUAAAGAUCACUUCACGCCACUAAAUGGCUUAACAGUAUCUUUCAAAUCUUAAACUAAAAUAUAUUCAUUUUUCUAAAAAGAUAAUAAAAUUCAUUUUAAAUGACCUUAAAUAGCAGGGUUUUAACCAAGAUCUUUCAAGUUACAGACACCAACUGACCCAAAAGCAAAGAUGUUCUAUUUGUUUUUUCCCACGAAGAUCAGACUUGGCAUAUGCUAGCAUAUAAGCUGAAUUCCCUUAUAUGUAGAUAGUACUGGCUAGAGCAAAAGGGGAACACAUUUUGUAUUUGGAUUUUCAGAUUUUGAAGGCUACAAACAGCACUGAAAAUUCUGAAUUGCCAGAAACAUUCCCUGAACUGAUAGCUCGUCCUGCCCUACUGCAAAAUAAGAAAAAAAUAAAAUUACAGUUGUUUUAAGCAGGUAAUUAUAGUCACACAACUAUGGGGCAAAGCCAAGGACUGGUGUAAAGCUUCAGGUUUUUUCCUUGGAUUUUUUUUUUUUUAAGUUUAAAUUCUCUUUGACAUAAUAAUAAAGGAAGCAUUGAAGAGUGUUUUAUUUCACACAACAACUGAUUUAAGACAUAGAAUCAUAGAAUCACCAAGGUUGGAAAAGACCCACAGGUUCACCCAGUCCAACCAUCUCGCUAAACCAUGUCCCUCAACACAACAUCCAAACGUUCCUUGAACACCUCCAGGGUCAGUGACUCCACCACCUCUCUGGGCAGCCCAUUCCAGUGCCUGACCACCCUUUCAGAGAAGUAGUAUUUCCUAACGUCCAGCCUGAACCUUCCCUGGCACAGCUUGAAGUCAUUCCCUCUGGUCCUAUCACUAGUCACACAAGAGAAGAAGCCGACCCCCAGCUCACUACAACCUCCCUUCAGGUAGUUAUAGAUAUGUGAAUAUUUCUCACCAAUGCAGGUAAUUGCAUUUGUACUAAAGCAUGUAUUUUAACACAGAAAGUGUAUCUUCAGAAACUGCCAAUACUGGAGACCGUAUUUGGUCAUGAAAGCAUUACUGUUUUCAGCAGGAAGAGAUACUACUGACAGUGGGUGAAUUUCAGAAGUCAGCACCUAGUAAAGUAACCUAACAAAAUUCCAACUGAGAUCAACUUAAAAUUUUAAAACAACACAUGUUUAGUAACUCAUGUUUCUAAUAUCCCAAGCAGAAAUACUAGUAAGAUCCAAACUCAAUUAUCCUAAAAAUUAAGACAACAAAAAAGGCUAAAUAAUUUCCCAGAACGCAUGCUGAGCAAAGCAAGUACUCUGGGAUAUAUACAUCAGGCUCAGCCAGCCAUAGUUAAUUUUCUUCAGGCUCUAACUCAUACUACGGUAUACUCAAAAGUUAAUUUUUUAUUUAAUCUUUGCCCAAAUACACUUUGCUUCCUCAUGCAGAUGAUGUGUGAGGAACACACAGAAGGUUUUCAUCGCAUUUCGCAAAUGAUAGAGUAUUAAAACUUACUUUGAUGCAGUAACAAAGCAAUGGCUAUCAAAAAAAAAAAAAAAAAGACAACAAAUAUUUGAAGAACUUGGAGAAGUAAUUCAAAUGCCUAAGGAGAACAGCAAUACCUUAACACAGGGAGCAUUCAUGAACAAAAAGAGGAAUUGCAGAAAUACUACCUUUGGCAUGCCCUUGAUGGGCAACAAAGUUGUCUCCUCACAAGCCCUGAAGAAUGGUAGAGAACCUGCAGGCCUUUCCAGUCACUUCUUCAUAUUUAAUUUCAAAAGCAAAUGGUGGCUUUCCAUUUUAUGAGUUGUCCAAACAUCCAAACGCUCCUUCAACUCCAGAAGCUCUGCCCUGGGCAGCCCGUUCCAUGCCCACCACCCUCUGGUACUAACCUUUUCCCUAACCCCCAGCUGCCCCUCCCCUGACACAGCUCCAUGCCGUUCCCUCGGGCCCUGUCGCUGUCACACAGAGCAGAGCUCAGCGCUGCCCCUCCGCUCCCUGUGAGGAGCUGCAGCCGCCAUCAGUCCUCCCCUCAGCUCCUCUGCUCUGAGUGACCUGAGCUGCUCUUCAUACUCUCGCCUUGGAGUCGAACUGUUCCCACGAAGAUUAAGUGGUUUUUUAAGGAGUACCAAUAGGGGGCACCAGAAAUGGUACAGAAGUUCUCACACUGCUAGCUUCUGUGUUGCAAUAGGGAGCACAGGAUCUACUGACAAUCCCUAACAGCUGUUUAAUCCUAGGUAAAACAUGGGCUGCCCUGUAUGUAUAUUUAAGGUACGAUAAAACAAACCCAAAAGACGGUGGGCAGAGAAGUGCAGGCAGAUGCGAGGACUUCAGUACUGGGGUUAUCAGUGUAGUGCUUCUUAGAAAGAAAAAAAUAAUCAUGAGGAGGAUGCGAUUUGCAGCUCAGUUUUGGCAUCCUCACCAGUUUACAACCACUCUUAUGUAAUUAGCUAAAGAACAAGGUAAACUCGAGCUCAGACACCAGACCCAGGCACCUUUUUCUGAAGCAGUGCUUCGUUAGGGGGAUUUCACGUUCAAGGUGAAAGCCUGGCACUAAUGAAACGCAGAGUCCUCCAUUUCUCUUCGUAAUGAUAAGCAACAACACAGGAAGCUUCUCACAUUGUCCAGUUCAAUUUCCUUCUCGCUUAAUUAUACAUCAGGAGUAAUUCCACUAAAAUUAAUUAAGUUACAUCAGAGACUGGCAAGAGAAGGAUUAGCCCUGUCAGCAGUGUGACACAGGGGAGAGAUGACUGCUCUCCCACCACGGCCAUCCAUUUUCAGCCUCAGAGAAUAUUAACCCAUCACGUUUGCACUAAUGGCCAAAAUCACUCAAUCUUAGGGGAAAAAAGCCACAAGCUGAGGACAGCAAGGGCAGCCCACCAAGGACACUCACUGCUGAAGAUGCCCUCUGUGUGCUCCUUCUCAUCGGGACUCCUGCAUUGGCAUUACACGUUUGUCAGAUGAAAAGAAAAUGUUCCUUUCCAGCUGCUAGUGUUUUUGUAUUGGCCACCUCAGACAAACAGUACUGACUACUGAGAAUCCUAUUUUCUUGUUUAAGUCUCCAGUUUCAUUGCGUAGGAAUUAAAUGCUCCAGCAAAGUAUGAGGGAUGUCUGACACCCCUCCCAGCACAACGUGGCUGAAAGAGAGGAGCCACCAAACCACCACGCAUUUGCGAGUCAUGGAGUCAUACAAUAUCAAAGAACCAUAGAAUGGUUUGGGUUGGAAGAAAUCUCAAAGCCCACCCAGUCCCACUCCAAGCCAUGGGGCAGGGCUGCCCCCCAGCAGCUCAGCUGCCCAGGGCCCCAUCCAACCUGGCCUUGAGCGCCUUCAGGGAUGGGGCACCACAGGUUCUCUGGGCAGCUGUGCCAAAUUUCCUCAGCCCUCUGAGUGGAGAAUUUCCUCCUGACAGCUAACCUGAAUUCCCCCUUUUAGUUUAAAGCCAUUCCCUCUUGUACUACCACAAUCAGACUGUCAACGGUUUAAGGGCUGGUCCGGCCCGGUUCCGCGACUAGUGGAGCGGAGGGAUUUCGCAAAAUCCACGCCUCCAGGAAGGGAAACAGGGGAUCCCAAAAUAAUUAAAAACAGUGGCAACAAGCAGAGGAGAAACAAACUAAUUUACUAAAUAUAGUAUCGGAAUGUAAGAUAACACACUAUAAUACAAUAUAAAUCAACAAUAAUUGAGAGAAAGAUUGUCCGAGAGCUAAAGGCCUUAUGCUAAUACUGAAGCCUUGCAGGCAGUCGGACGCAGCAGUAGCGAGCCAAUCCGACAGGGAACACGGUGAGACAAGAAAAGGGACAAGUCAGAUGACCUGCGCCCUUAUAUCUGUUCCCUUGAGCAGGAAUGAUAACAGUACUCGAAAAGGCUCUUGGGGAACGUAGUUCUUCUUCUCUUCCAGACAAGUACCUGGAACUAAAGCAUUUGCUCCUUAACUCCCAGUACACUGCAUGAUGUUGUGGUGUGGAAUACUGACAACCAAAAAUCAUAAAACCAUGACACAGACCAAGUAAAAUAUUGGUCCUUUCCCCUUAAGAGCUCCCUCCCUUUGAGAUGCCUCAAAGGUCACAAGAUGUCAAAAUGUAAGGUAAGGGCUUUCAAGUUCAGACUGGAUGAGAGUGAGGAAACUACAGGUCAAACUCAACUCUAACCCAAAUCCAAGUUACCUGACAUGCAAAAUGAGAAGAAUUAAAAGCAACAAUAAUAAAUCCUCAUCACCAGUUCUGGGUAUUUCUUACUGGUACCUGCACUUCUUUUACUCAUAAUUUAGCACUCCUGUGUUCUGCUUAUGGUUUAUCAAACAGUUUCUUCCACACCCAACUCAGACCAUUAAGUAUGCUCUCAGAUACUCCCUGCUCUGCUCCAUAUAUUAUUCCAAUUGCUCCUUCUUUCCUAUAUACAGCAGUUCCACACUCACCCUCCAGAUGUUACCACCUCACUUAAUACUUCACCAGCCGCAGCAUGAACCAGGAUAACUCUUACCCAGUGACUGGCAGGUCGCCGCAGAGCGCUUCAGACUGACUCCGGUUUCACUGCACUGCUAGCACAGGCUGCAGACUGGCAGUAGGAGGACAGACCUCGAGAGGAGCUCGGGGAAGAGAAACGAGCCAAGAUAAGCAGGGAGACAGACACACCCCGCAUUCUUUCAGGCGCUCUGUCUGUGCUCCGCAGAUGUUGUCUUGCGCAGCUCAUCACAGCAAGCAGCGUGUGAACAAGAAUCCUGGUGCUCCAGACAUUUUCAAAUAAAAAAACUAUGGGAACGCAGCAGAAUAAAAUAGCAGUGCAUAUGAGACAAAGUAAAAUUUUAAAUGGAAAUAAAGAUUAGAUAUCAGACAGCUAUGAAAUUAACACAGGCUGCAUUACAGCAAACACGAGGCUAAUAUUUAAAAUUAAGAGUACUUCAUUAGCAUUGGAAAAAUUAAAUUUGAAGUAACCCGUACCUGGCUAAAUAUAAUUAAAGACAAAAAGGUUGAGCUGAACUAAUCUGAAAGAGUCACCUUUGCAUUGGUGGCUGCUGCAAACAAGAGCUGGAGGCUGGGCAGGCGCUUCCCAACCCAAGCCAGGCAGCGCAACACAGGGACGUUCAGCUCCUCUCUGCACUGUAUCUGUAUCGGAAAGCCUCAGCUUCUACAUGAAGCUACCCAAAAGCUGGAAACAGACGUUUCAGAACAUUCUGCUUGUACUUCAGCAUAGCCUCUCUCUCCUUUACAAACACAGAAUAUGGAGACACGCCACUGGCUCUGAUCCAUCCAAAACCACAUGGGUCCUCUACAUUCCUCACAAUAUUUAUUGACAUUUUGAUGGGGCCACCCUUAUUACACACGAGAACAAAGAGAAAUUACUUAUUAGCCUGUGUGACAGAUGGACAGAAGUCUGUUUUAACCAGCCAUUCCAGAUCCAUUUCCACUUUUAUGUGGUAGCAUAUGUUGUUGUUAUUUAUUGGGAGCGAUCACACAGGUUACUGGCUAACUUUACAACAACUUUUUUUUUUCUUUAAUUUCUUAGCCUAACUCAUAAACAACGUGUAUUCCUAUAUUUAGCAUGAGGGCUUAAAGUGAAAUAAUUUUACUAGCCUACCCACUUCCUCUAUUAAACAACAGAACUCCAGGAAUUUCUGGAUUCUGCAGGUCUGGCUCCACUGACAAUCAACUGUCCUCCUGAAAAAGCCUACAGCAUAAUGCUGACAAUUCUGCAGGAAGAAGAGACAUAGAAACAGCGCACCUCACAUACCAAGUUAGUAUAUGGAAGCCUUCCCCUCACUCCAAAGUCAACAACCAGCACUAUGUAUCAACUCUAACCAAAGGGCUUGAUUUUUCAUUGCUUUUUAAGUCAGCUAUAAACAAAAAUGCCAUCCAAAGGCAGUGACCCAAUGUGAUAAGCAAAGUUAUUUUUCUAGUUAUUCUUCACGUUGUCCAUGAUAACCUUCCCUUCUGAAUCCAGCCACUGCCUUGCUGACACGUUAAACAGCCACUUUUGUAAUACUCGUUCCACACUGGGUCAUUUAUAGAGGUUCCUUGUUUCUAAGUAGGUCUUUUUUCUUGUUAUUUUUCUUAUAAAUUCCUACUGCCACCUCCUGCAGCUUUUUGAAUGCAGACAGGACUCAGGACCCCUGAAGAGGCACUUUCCCCAAACAAACGACACUUCUGUGUUCAUGUACAUCUGGGCAGACCAAGAUCACAGAGCACACACAUCUGUGCUCCCAAAGUGCUGACAGUGAGAUUCAAUCUGUCAAGAAACCAUCAUUUAAACACAGUUUGUUUUCUUAAACAAGAUGUUUUAGAGUAAAACACACCAUUGUGCUCCUGCUAGAUGAAAGACAGACUUCAGCAGCAGAGCCCGUGGGCUGCCAUCCUGUGCCUGCACAACUUGUUCACACGGCUGCAAUCAUACUGGAUGGCAGAAAUGAUCUGCAGGAACAGUAACUCCCUACUUCCCCUUGCAGGAUUGGUCUAAAUCCACAUGAUUUCAGCACUCUGGUUUGAAGCAUAGCAGCACAAACAGCUGUACUGGCCCAGCUCCAGCUACAGUCAGCCACCAACCAUAAAGUCUUCCCUCAAAGAGAGGCCUAGGUCUUCCCACUGAGACAACACUGACAGCAGUCUUCUCUAAAUUCGUGAUCAGAAAUACUUCAACUAAUUUGUUUCACCUGAAACCCUUCUGUAAUCCUGUAAUGGCAUGAUAAUAGCAGGGUGGCAAAGUCUUUGCCUACAGCAAAUGGGAACAAGCCCAAAUGCAGCAGCCACAGAUGCAGAAAUGAAGAAGAGCCGCUUACCUUUAGAAGGUCUCAGGUAGGAAGGGAUCUCUGCCAAGAGAUACCUUCACCUCCACUGCCAACCCUCAAGUUAGGUCUGGGAAGGAUCCUGCCUCCACCCCUUCUAGUCACUCAGGGGCACUGCAUGUGCCUGAGCUCCCCUGGGCUGGCCCUGCCGUCCCACCUGGUGCUCAAUCACUGGUUCAGUCCAUGACUUAGCAUUUCCACUAUAACGUCCCAACCCAGAAUAAUCACUCCAAUCAGUUUGGCAAGUUUCAGCUCCAACAGUUCAGAAGCUGGGAAAGAUACAAGUAAUUGGAACAGUCUUCCAAUAGAACGCAACACGCAACUUAAGUUACAGGUGCUUAGUCUAUUAUAACUUGAGCAGGUAUUUGUCCCUCUGUACUAAUUUAUAUUUAACACGACAUCAUAGUUCUGCAAUUUCCCUCUCGGAAAUCAGCAGGACAGCAUUUUGUGUGUUACUCAAAGCCAUUUUUUAUCUAAAAAGCAUUCUCUUGAAUUGACUGAACUUAGUCAUUAAAGUAUACAGACAUUAAGUGCAAGCCUGAAGAAUCGAGUUUUUUAUCCAAACAAGUUAGUCAUUGUUAUUAAUAAUGACAGUAAAGGCACAGUGCAUCAUCACACACAGAAAUUAAAGAAAGCUCCGUCUGAGGCAGAGACAGAUCCUCUAACUUCUGAUGAAUGUCCACUUCUAAGGCUAUUCAAAGAAAAGCAGGCAUAAGCUGGUUCUUUCUGGUUAAACCUGAACACAGGGGGAUUCCCUGCCAGAUUCUCGAGCAGUCAAUGCCUGAAGCAGGCAGCAGCAGAACAGAGCUCCACCUGAGAAGUCACAAAAUACAAAUGGCCAUAAUUCUGUUUUUAAAAAACAACAGCAACAGCUAGAGGUCCAAUACCUCUAGCUGUAAAAUGAGCAAGGGAAGAGGGAGAUAUAUAGCAUUAAGGUUAUCGUUCAGAAGGAAAAGGAUGGCAACUCAAACUCUACAUGGCUUACCUACAACUUCAGAGCCCUGACUUCUGUUUUUCUCCUUCAUUACAUCACCGAACCUAAUACAUUUCCGAAACCGUGAGGAAAACAGGUAUAUUCCUGUCAUGAAUUUAAACAGGGGAAAGAGGACCUAACAGUCUGUCUAGCACCUCCAGCCUCAGUAAUUUUACGUAGAAUGAUCUCCAGUCAUUACUCAGAUUGUUGAUCUGCUUUUGGGCUAUUUGUUUGGACAACAGUAGUUGUACAGAAGAGUAUUCCCUUCCAACCUCAGCACUCCACAAUCCAAAGUCUUCACCAGGCUGCACCCAAGGCAGAGCAGGCAUUUAACUGGGCUCCUGCAAAGGGAAAAGAAACAAGAGGGGAUGGGCGGCAGGGGGUACUUCUAGUAGGGGAUAGGCAAAGCACAGUGUCAGAAUGCAACCCGGUCAUCUCCACAGUUGUGAGGCACAUGAAUGAUGCAUUCCCAAAUUACAUUCCCAAAUUACAUUUACAAGCUGAUUUUUCACAGCUCCAGUAGAGUAGUAAUGUUACAAGCUUAAACAACUUUAUACAUAAUCUUCUUUCUUUGUCAGACACUUUAAAGAAAAAAAAGAAGUCCCCACUGCUAAAUCUCUCUUAAAACCACAGAUGGAACCACAACACCUGAGCUUGUCCAAACACAUUUACACCAACUCCCACUCCAAAAUACAGUCCCACAAAGGCCCUUGCCACAGACCAUGUCCUCACUGUCAUCUAACAGCUCUUUUUCUCUACUCCAGAAAUGUUCUGGAGAUAAAUCAGAAUGUUCCUUUUAUGUCAUGCCAUAAACAAACACAAUGUUUCUACGUGAAUUCUGACAAAAAUUAUAUAUACUUCUCCCUAUAAAGUACCACAUGUCCCAAAAAAUAACUUAAUGCUGAGCUCAAACUACCAUUCCUCUUCAGAAAUGAGCAUCAUAACCCACUCUCCUGCUUUGAUAAAUAUAAAGAAAAAACAGCUUUUACCAGUAUUUCCAACUGUCGCAUUACAUGCCAUUGCUUCUACUCUAUUAACCAAUCACAGCACAAAUAACAUUCGAAAAGUAACUUUAAAAUGGUUAAAAGAGUAAACGAAGGAGGAAAAAGGAAAUGAUGAAACUUCUAAUGGGGGAUACAAGUUACCAUAAACCUCUUAUUUGGCUCCCCAAGUGAAAGCCGGCGCUCAUCUGAAGUACAAACAGUAUGUUGGAUUGACAGUGAUUCCCAAAUUUCAAUGCACAUUUGAGAUGCUAACUUGUUUAAACGUAAGGAAGAGCCACUACUGAAUAUAAACAGUCAACUUUGCAGAGAACUAGCACAGGAAAGACAUUUUGUCACAGAAAAACAGUAUCUAAAGCAAACACAGAUGAACUCCACAAUAAAACCAGUACAUCACAUUCAUGUCUUUGACAUCUUUAUGCUACAGAUCCAAAACACAAAUGCAUGUCUUGAAAUGAGCUCUCAUGCUCAAAAAGAAGUUUGAGUUUUGUAGGAAUUACAAUAUAUUUGGCCUUGUAGUUUCUGUAGUUACCUAUUAUUAGCUGGACUUCAGUUGUCAAGACAACAGCUUCCACUUCCACAAAAUACUGUGACAUUUUGCUUAAAGUCAAUACCAAAAGUUCAUUAGAUUGGCCUCGCAGCCAGAAAAUAAGAGCAUCUCCUUGGGAUCAGGUCAGGUUGUCAUCAGCAACAGCAAUCAAACAGACAAGGAGACUGGAUAUCUGGAACAGAUCACAGACACGCAGUAGAAACUGAAGGAUUCCAGGUGCAACCCACCCUACACAAGAUCGACAGCACUACAUGGCUCCUGUGCACUGCCUUGCGACAACAACCAUCCCAAACUGGAGUGUGGUGCACACAGUGUAACUGAUGAACAUGCAUGCUUCAAUACAGAAAAAAACUGUUCAGGUAUCAGAAUAUUUUGGAAUAUGUUACAGAAGAAAAAAUAAAAAUAAAACAAAACCAUCAUAGUGUAGUGAAGUCAAAUUGCCAGGAAAUGGAAGUCAGAGUAACAUGGCAGUUGUUAUGUAGUGACCACAUCCCACUGCAGUAUCAAUGGGGGGGAAACGAACAUGCUUCUAGAAAUCAGGCCAGGCCUGGUACAGUGAGAAAAACUCACUGUACAACAACAACCAACAGAGAUCGGUUUUUUGAUUAUGUGAUGUAUGCAUGACAGCAAUAAACAAAAUGCAACAGGAGACACACCUAGAAUGUAUAAUUCAGCUUGCUAUCUGUCUGCAAGGCACCAGUGGGAGAGUCUGCCAACAUCCAGUUUAGUUUUUGUAAAACCAAGUACCUUAGGAUCACAUCUCAUUUCUCUUACUUGGUAUGUUUCUUUCAAACAAAGUAUUUUGUAUUUAAAAAGAAACAAACAACAACAAAGGUGUAGACCACUAUAAUUAAAUAACAUGGAUAUCCUCUGUAGAGCCCCACACUCCUGGGUAACUGUUUUCAUGCAAAAAGACAAAACAAUAAACAUCUUGGAAAGUAACUAUGAAACUUACUCCUUCCAAAACAGCUGCUGCAGUAAUAUGUGGGUUUACGAGAGCCAUAGGCUGAAACAACAGCAAAACAGACUACCCAAAGCAUUUUUCCCAACCCACUGGUAUUCAUUCAGUAUAGAACUGAAAAGGACAGAAGAAAGUAUACUCAGGGGUAACUGUGCACAAACUACUCAAAAGGAUUCAGUUAUCAGACACUUUAUUUUAAAGAUCCAUGUGAAAAACGUGAGAUUUACUCUUUUUUUUUUCUUUAUAUCUAUCUGUACAUAUGCAUGCAUUUACACUCCCCACUGCCUUUUAUCUCUUUGCCUCUCUAAAUACACGCUUACUUUAACUCAAAGAAAGCAACAGUACCCCAAACACCAACGUACAAUGCAGUCCUUCCCCUCUGAAGAAAUGCUUUAUGAAUACUUACAGCAUUUAGUCAGAACAUUUAUUCUCUUGCAAGAACAGAUGGGAAUAAGCUACCUGAAAGUAUCAAUAUUAGCUUGUUAACUCAGCCUGCAGAAAACCAGAAUAGCUCACUGGCAACAACGCAAAGAACUGGAGAAGAAAAGAUGAGGAGAGAGGAAAAGAAAAGCACAUCGAUGUAAGAAUAACCCCCUCAGAAUGCCAUUCUGAGGGAUAUGUGGGUAAGGUGACUGGUGAAUUGGAAGCAGUCCUCUUGAGCAACAGGCAUUUUUGUCAGAUUUAUAUUUUCAGAGACAUGAGAGUAUUGUUUCCUGCAUCCCUAUGUUGGAACAGCUCAGCUCAGCCCAGCCAAGCCAUCAUGCUCUCAUUUGUCAGAUUUAAAAAAGAGAAGCAAAUGCAGAAGCUUUGAGUGCUGUAUUUUGUUUUUCCCUCAAAGGUUACUUACAACAUGUGGCACAGUAGCCCCUAUAACACACAAAUGAAUCAUUUAGUUUGCAUUAAACAGCCCCGCUGAUAAACUACUAAGAUCUGCUUCUUUUCUUUGAAGUUUCCAUACUUACCUUUCAACCCUGUGCAUCAUGAAGGAAGGCUACAGUUGCCUGCUGUGUUUCUAUUAUCAUUUUAUACUACUACUUAAAGAAUCUUUUUUCCCCCUCAGAUUGCCUCAUAUCAUCAUAAUAUAUUGCAAGCAUCACAUGAAAAAUAAACAUUGCGGCAGUUGACAUAGCACAGUUUUUAUUCCCUAGCAAUGAAACAAAGAUCUUAGAUACUCAGAACAUACUGAUGCCUAAGCAUGAACAACCAGCAAUAUUGUCGCACCGAAUGAAUGUCUUCCCAGUUCUAGUUUUAGAACAGAAGAACCUCUCCUUCUGGAAGUCAGUAAGUUAACCAUCAUUUUUGUAUCUGGCAUAAAAUACAAGAAAAUAAGAUCUUUGUUGGCGAGCCGGCACAUAGCAGGGGGGUUGAAACUAUAUGAUCGUUGUGGUCCUUUUCAACCCAGGCCAUUCUGUGAUUCUACGCACAUUGUGAAUGUCUCUUUUUCCAACAGCCACAGUCAGAGGACUACAUAGAUACCUUCUACACAGUAUCUACCUUGAAGGUCUUUUCUUCUUACCUACCUCCAUACAUCAAAUACCAAUGUGAACAUUACUGAAGCACUGUUGAGAGCAAAUUCUGAUGCGUUCAAUACAAGUUCUCCCCAUACCAAGACAAUCUACAUUUGUAGACACAAUAUGCAAUAACCUAUAAUGCAAACACAUUUUAUUUCCCUCACAGACACAAAGAGAAGAGAGCUUCGACUUAGAACAGUCCCACAUUUCCAGUUAUGAACACAGACUUUGACAUAACAGGGAAAUCUGUCCUUAGAGCCAUCAGCACUCUUGCCAGUGAGCACAGCCAGCCCCCAGCAUCAUCACGGGCCUCCCGCAGAGUUGGGAUCAGUACAUUUGCUUCCCUGAAAAUCAUACACAGGAAGUAUUUAAUUUAAGCUCAAUCAUCUGGCUGAGGAUUGAGGAGGGAAGAAAACCAUGUUUUAAAAAAAUAAAAAAAAACCCACCUAAAAACGUACGAACCAGGGAAAAUACACUGCUAUGUAUCCUCUUUUAUCAUGGCAACUGGUAACGUGGAGUUUGAAACAGGAAGAGGAGGAUUUUCUUUCUCUUUUUUUCCUUUUUUUUUUUUUUCUUUUAAAUACAGAAUUCAAACAAUGGAACCAAACAGGGAAUUAAGUAGUACUGCCCACUUACAAUUCAGGCAUGUCUCACUUUGCAGCUUUUAACAAACCAGAGCUAAGCUGGGGCAAAGGGGUGAUAAAGCGUGCCACCUUUCUGUCGCCUUGGCAGCUUUUCUUGCACUAAGAAGACAAUGCAACAUCUUCAUCCCAUGCAGAGGCCACAAGAAACCCACUCAAGAAGGUUUCCUGAAUACUCACAAGGUCAAAUUCGGACCCGGCACCUAGAAAAACCUUACUAAGGUAUGAUUCCCAAGGUUUGGGGAAAUAGAUGGAGAAAUAGCCUAAUCAGCAGAGAGUGGAAAAUUAAACUAACAGUAAAGAAAAGGUCCAGAAGUUGUCUUAGUGGUUCCAGAUGGCAGAUGGCCCUCUACACCAAGCAGUGUAAGGAACAAGGGCAUAUAAAAUAAUACAGGAAUGGUGUCUAGUUCCUUCCUUAAAUGUUUGAGAUGGCAGCAAUCUAACAGCUGCUCAUGUAGAGGAAAGAAAAGUAAUUACAGAAAAAAACCUGUACGAUUAUUACAAGCCUCUAUAAUAUACUCCAGGAGUUUUAUUUGGAAGACCUUGCACCUUGCUUUAGUUCAUCCUGGAUUUCAAAAAUUCAUGAACUUAAAAUUGGAAGUUUUCUGCAGGCUAGCUUCAUUUUAAAGGUUCUAGACUAAACAAGGCAUUUGUUAAGCUAAGUAACACAUCUACAUCUGUUAUACAUAUAUUUGGUUGGUUUGGGUGGUAUGCUUUUUUUUAAAUAUGAUCCCACCUCACUCUAGCCCAUUGGAGUGGUAACCCAUGGGGUCUUGUACUACACAGGGUAACUACAUAGAGUCUUGUAUUUGUACUACUAACCUUUUAUAGUCCAUCUAAAACGAAGAUGAAAAACAUGGAUAGCAUCCUUAGCCCAUUUCUUUAAACAUUAGCAGACAAAACAACAUUUUCAGAUACGUAUCAACGUGUACUUAGCCGUUUUCCUCAAUAAUCAUUCUUAAUUAAAAAAACAAUGCAAAAAAUACCUCCUACUCAUCUCUUUGCAGGACCAUUUAACACUACAAAGGGAAUACCGUCUCAAUAAGGUAGGCACAGAAACAGUGCAGAGGAGAUUGCACAAUGAUACUCAUGCCACUUUAAUCAAACUCUAAUUAAUCUGAUGGUUUUACAUUCUGACAUAGUUUGGCUGAAAACAGACAUACCUAAUUACGGUGACUUGUUUAUCCAGCAGCUUAAGGUUUUGACUGUAAAAGUGACGUCCACAAAACAAACAUGCCCUGUAGCAUGUAAUUUACUUUGAUAUGAAAAAAUGUUGAACCAAAAAAAAAAAAAAUCAUGCUUUGUCAGCAAUCAGACAGCUGAAGAGAAAUUAAAAAGGUAGCUAAUUGCUUUCAGACCUAAGUAGCAAAUAUUUGAAAACAACGUGAAUUUUUUACCAUCUAGCAUUACUCGUGGUUCAGACUUUGACGUGAUAACACACUACAGGCUGUUCCUCGAUUAGACAGUCUCCAUCCACAACUAUGCAUUCAAGCUCUAGCCCGUUGAGCAAUGUUGGAAAAAAACCUGCUGGCUCAUACAGCACUUGAGCCUAUCACACAUGAAAGCUCACAGAAGAAACUUUCAAGGCAAAAGUCAAAGACAACCUUCUUCACUUUCUGAGCUUUUUUUUUCUUUUAACUUGGGUAGUAUAAAGAUUAUAACACAAAUUAGCGUCAAACACUCAACAACAAGGUUUAGGAACUUCCAAUUUGUCACUUCUGUUUUCUUCCCCUCCAUCUUGAAUGUCCAAGCCCAUAGUGCCUUAAAACUUACUACUGAGAGACCCAAGCAUCAGCAAUCUAGAAAUGACUCCACGAAUAUGUACUCUACCCUGCCAGGUUUGGGAUUUUUUUGGUCAGUCGGCAUUACAAACUGGCUUGGUACGUACAAACUUAAUUGAAUAAGACAGCCAAAUUUUAUGCUAAUUACCUGAGCAGAAGUCAAGCAUGUAAUCUUCUUUCGUAACACAGCACUUCUGCAUAACUGGACAGGAACAUUUAAUGACAUGAAAAAUCAGAUACUCAUCAACACAUGAAGAGCUGGAAGAAGGGAAACACUUGGCUAAUGGGAAGAAGACAUUACACAGCCACCCUUCAGAGCCUGAACCUUGUUUGCCUUGUUAUUUGCCUCAAUUCAAAGUGAAGAGAAUUACAGGGCUGGUUCAAAAUGACCAGAUUUCUGUUUAAGUCCUCUUCCAUCUGCAGAAAGCUCCCACCCAUUUAGAAUUAGCAAAAGGGAAAUGAAAAGGGGGGAAUCAGCAGAAGACAUGAAAAAAUACAAAUAUAGUGGGCAUCUUAUAUAGCAUCUGUACACAUAAGAAAGAAUUUCUAGCAAUAUUAAUCUGAAGUCAGAUAAAUCAUUCAACAGCAGAGGACAAUCAGGAAGACCCUCCUAUGCAGUAAUAUGUACUCUUACCCUGCAAAACAAAUGUGAAGAGGAAUGAAGCAAUCAAUUAAAACAACAGUUUUAAUAAAUUUUCUGAAAAAAAAAAGUUGCAGAUUUGCAAUUAAAUGCAAAAAAACUAAAAGAACAUUAAAAAGCAAAGUCGUGCAACUAAAUAAUAAGGCAAAGCUCCCAAAGAAGCUUGCAUUUCUUGUCAGUAACAUUCCUGUAUAUCUCUUCUCCGUUAGAAAAUCUAAUGAAUCAAAGCAGAAAUACUCCUUGUAACAUAUCCUUUUGAAGACACUAACAGCAAAAUAAAAACUGAAAUAGGCAUUUUAUAAGGUAGAAAUCUUAAAACGUUUCAUAACAUUGUGGGAUGAUUUUUUUUCCCUUUUAUUCUGCAUGGAAUCAUACAAGACUACAGAUGAAAACUGAUCCAAUAUAAACAUAACUUUGGUUGAAAAACAGAAAUGUGAUUUUCUCAUUCUGCUGUAAAGCAAUCAAGUUUUGAUAUGGGAUCUUUUCAGCAAGAUGUAAAAUCCCCUCCUUACCAAAAACUUAAUCAGUGUUGUUCUGACCCAUCAAUUACCUCUGCGAGGUAAUUAAAAUAAUAUAAUCCAUGGAUUUUUUUAUUUUAUUUUAUUUUUUUAAGAUGCAUAAAAGGUUGUUUGAUUGUGAUUUUGGAACAACCAAUAGUAGCACUGAGGCAAAAGGAGGGACCUGAUACAAGCAUAAAUGCACACAUUUGUAUCACUGAAGUGCUGGCAGUGGUUUCCUUCUUGGAAAGUAAACCACAUGAUUUGUGACUUAUUACAUAGACAACACGUUGAAGACAACAUCUCAAGGACAUAGAACAGUGCUGACAACUUUAGCCACAUGCAGCAGCUUCACAAGUCAGUAACUCCUUUCUGCUUGGAACAAGACUUCAUGUAAACUUGGCUCUUUUUUGGCACUUGGAAUGUUUAGAAAUAAGGUUGCCUUCCUUCAUAUUCUCCAUUUUCUUCCACUACAACAAAGUCUGACCUGCAGUAGAAGGAGUAGGGCAAGAUGAAUUCCAGAAGGUCUCUUUCAGUCUGAAUUACUCAUCUCUCUUUGUAUCAUCAGAAGAUGAAGCAGGAGUAAGCACAGUUCACCUCUUCAAUCUACGUUGUGCCAGGACAACUCUACACUCCAUGAAGCUUCCCCCAUUUCACUUACAAUCUCCCUAUUCAUCUUAAGGCUGCCCACAAGACACAUUUUACACCUGUAAGCAGAGAGCUCUCUAGCAUACAGCAAAGAAAGAAAUUUGCUUCUGCACCUUACUUUGGGCCUCUUUCUCAGCCUUAUGUAGAACCUGCAUAGACUACUGGUUGUUCACUGAAGUUCGCCUAGUUCAUUUUUAUCAAUGUCCACUGAUUUUUACAGAAAUACUACCAGGUAAAAUUUACUAAAAUCAGCAGAUAUCACUGUUUCCACUCCAAACAUGCCAAUACCUUUAUUUGGGAAAAAAGUUGUGAUGAUUUCCAAGGCCCUACUGAAAUUAAUAACUCUGCAUGCGACAUCCCUUCCAAGACAGGAAAAAAAAGAUAUACAGAUAAACCCAACUGCACAGCUGUUUGUCCACACACAUCCAUUUUGAAGGUUAAAUGCACCAAAUUACCUCAACAGCAAUUAAUACAACUGCCAUGAACAUAAAGCCCUCUUUCCCUCUAGAUCUGCAUUUUCCCUGUUGUUCUGCCCCCUUCUCAACUCCACUCUGAGUCACAGACAGAUUAGAAAUCAGAUCAGCCUAGAAUUUGCAACAGUGACUUAGCCUCUUUGGACUAAAAAUAAACAGUAGAUAGAGCGGCUGGAAAAAAAAAAAUCGAUGCCAGUCAGCCCCAACGUGCUCUAUUUUACCACAGCAAGAAUGAACAGUAUCUGAAGUUUACAGGGCUUUGCUUCCCAUGGCACGCUGCCACCCUGCUCCUGCAACUCUGUCUUUAGGUCCACCCAAGAAUGCAAAUAUCCAGAAUGCGUAUAUUGAAGACUAUGAGCCCCUUAGUCUUGGAAUAAACAUAUAUGGGAAAGCAACAAAGAGAAAUAAUCACCUGGCUUAUUCUAUGUAGCUGUGCAAAGCAUUCACUACGACAGCUCGGGCUCUAAGUGCCACAGCAGGCAAUCCUCAGGCAGCCCGCGUGCUAAAAUAAUACCCUAAAGCAGGAGCAGCAUGAUUGGAUUUCUAUGUACAUCUAAGGUCACCCAGGUCCUGUGUCUGGCCGGCUGCUCCCCGCCACCAGACACCUGUGCCGCAUGGGCUGCCCGCACAGCAUGCUCAUCGUGGAGAUAAAUGCAGGAGAUCCAGCCAGCCACAAACUUCCUGACAUUCUCCAGAAUGGGCAGGUUUCAUUUUUUUUUUUCUCCAGAGCAGGGAGGUUCUGAUAUUAAUCUGAACAGGGAGGAAAGCUGGAGUCUGCAACGCAGAAACAUCUAGGCAAAUAAAUACGUCAUUAAGCUAACUAGCUACAGGAUUGUCUAGCAGAUGGAUGACAUCUUGGUUGCUAGUGGAACACUUUUCUAUAGCCUUGUUUGAGGCAGACACAUAUGGCUCUCCCAAGUAUUGAUGCAAGCUCCCAGAUGGACUAGAUCAUUGCUGACACCUUAUUAUAAACCCUAGAGAUGAAAGAAGGGAGCACAGUUUUUGAAUCACAACACAGGACUCUGAAAUAUUCAGACCUCCUAAAAAUAAAGUUUAUGGCAGAAUCCUAUUUUAUUUCUUUUUUGUCGUUGAAAGAAACUACUUUCAACCAGAAACAGUAAAUAGGGGAAAU